UUUUCCUUCAUUCAUUUUACUGCCUAGGAAGUCUAUUUGCUUAAUGUUUUCAAAUUAUUUUUGCAAAGAAUAUAGUCCUUAUGUGUGAUCACUGAAAUAUGUUUCUUUCUUUAGUAUUUUGAUAGAUCUUAGUUAGGAGCUAAACCAAAACCAAAAUACUUCUCCCAGUUUUUGCAGAUUGUCAGUUUUUUAGGGUACUCCCUCAACAUUAAUCCAGGCUUGAACUAAGCUAACAACAAUUAGCCUAAGUUGAAAGCUUGGGGUCUUCUGUGUCUUUUCUAAGCUUGCUUUUUGUCUUGGAUGAAUUUUCCUAUAUAUGUUUUUGAAUGUCCUAAUUGCCCAGAGUAACUCCCCACCCUCAGAUUUCCCCUCAGUCCUAAAAUGAUUUAUUGUUUAUCUCAGCUGUAAUCUUUUGAUCCAGGCUUUUGCAGAUUGUUGGUUUGCCUUACACUGGUUUUGGGCAAAGCCUUCUGCUUUUCUAGCCCAAGUUGCAAGUUAGGCAAAACAGAAAUGAGUGAUUUGCUCCAGUCCUUCAGUUAUUCCCAGACAGGCUUGAACAGACAUAAACAAUAAUCUGUGAAUGAGGUCUGUUUUGCUCCAUCCAGAGACAGGAACCAAGGCCAACACUGUGAAUGAAGCUAUCAUUUUCAACACAGCUGCCACAUCAAGAAAGGAUAAUUUAUGUGCAGACUGCAGUAAAAACUGGAUGAAGUUUUCCAGCUGGGGAAUAGAUGUUCUCAUCGCAGAAUUUUGGAACCAUUCUUCCGGGCCACACCUGUGGAAGUUCCCACAUUAAGGGG